CACGUAGGGCGCAAGCGUUUGUCCGGAAUCAUUGGGCGUAAAGAGCUUGUAGGCGGUUUGUCGCGUCUGCUGUGAAAUUUCGGGGCUCAACCCCGAACUUGCAGUGGGUACGGGCAGACUAGAGUGUGGUAGGGGAGACUGGAAUUCCUGGUGUAGCGGUGAAAUGCGCAGAUAUCAGGAGGAACACCGAUGGCGAAGGCAGGUCUCUGGGCCAUAACUGACGCUGAGAAGCGAAAGCAUGGGGAGCGAACAGG
rnacentral:rRNA from 1 species